CAAAUAAACAACCAACCAACAACCCCCCCCACCCCCCCACCUAUUUUAGGAUGCCCGUGUUAAGUUUGAUUGCACACCUUUCUUUUGACACCAGUGAACCUGAUAAAGAACAGAGUCACUGAGCUUCGCGGUGGAAAUUCACCAAAGAUCAAGAAUGGACUGCAGGACCAUUAUCUCUGGCUCCUCCUAGACAGAAGAGAAGAUGGAGCUUCUGCUGCCAUCUCUCGUUCAACGUCCGCCAUAGCAUUGUUCCUGGACCAAGUUGAUUAUAAAACUAGAAACAACAAGCUAGUCUUUCCACCUCGGUUCCCCUCCAAAAAACAAAACAAAACACCUCCCCCAAAGCCCUAACUAUGAGAAGUUUACCUUUUAACAUUCCCUGCCAUUUUCUUUUUCAGUCAGUUCUAGUUGGGGGAGGAAGCAGCUGGAAAUAGUCUAUCACUUGUUUUAACGAAGCUUGGUAUGUGGAGUAGACCAAAGUGAAGGGGGAAUUCCCACACUGUCUGAUUACUCUCCAAGCCCGACACACUUCCCCUUUUGAAUGGUUUGAGGGAAGCAAGGUCUGUCUGCUUCUGUCAAAUUUCAAAGAACAAACUGUUCUUGUCCCCUUAGGUCUUUCUGAUUGCUUCACGGCGAGCUCUAAAAAUGCAUCGGUCUGGGAAUAUAUAUGAAAAAAUGAAUUUGUCAGUGAGGACAGCUUGGCAUAUUAGUUUCCUCAUACUCUUAGAUUCUUACUGUGCUUUGCACUUUGCCUGGCACAGAGUAGAUGCUUAAUAAAUGCUUGUUGCCUUGACUUAUUAACGUGCAAGAUGUGGCAUCCACUCCUAUCUUUGCUCCAGUACACACUCACCAAAAGCACAGCUGCUUAUUGCCAUGACUUUUGGGGUGAUAAAAUGGAAUUAAAAGACCUAACAAACAUCAACAAAAAACCCCCACUUUCACUUACAAAGAACAGAAAAAGAGAAUAUGUAAAACCAAGUCUCUAUUGAUGUAUAGUUUGUUUUCUUUAUGUAUAUAUUAAACUUAACAUGGUGAUAAAUAAAUGAAUGUGUGACUGAAUUUAUUUUUCA
rnacentral:lncRNA from 1 species